GAUUUACAGCUGGAAAUCAUCUCCUGAAUUUCUUCACCUAAGCCAAUCCAACUGCAUUCAUAUGAAGUACAGAUAAGGAAAGGACCUAUGUGAUGUCUGGUUUCUUAAGUGUUAUCUGGCUCCAGGUGAAGUAUGAAUCAGUGUUUGGAGGAGUUCUAUAAGAUCAAAUCUGUGACAGCUGCAGGCUUGCUCAUCUCAAGACCCUCAGACCACUUCAUAACCAAGGAUACAUUAGUGGAGCAUCCUGAAUAAUCUUAUGUCUUUCCGGAAGUCAUUCUCAGCUGGAUUUUGGCAUAAGACUUGUUGUUGCACCUGCUCUGCAUUAAAAACUCAAACUCUACAAGCAAGCAUUCCAGAACCAGACAUGAAUAUAACUCGGAACUAAAAUGAACAUUCUGCUCCACUAACUUUCAUCCAUGGAUGAUGCCCUUUGUUUUUGAACACUGCCUUUAAUAGCUCCUGUUAAGGACGAAGCAGGUUUGAGUUUAGCUGUUACUGGAUCUUCGAACUAAAGGCUGUCAAGUUACCUGUUUGGAAACAGUUGGGCUUUUCAUUGACGUUGCUUUCUUGAAAAGUGCUUUCAGAGCUGUUUUCCACUCCAAAAAUGAAGAAGUAAAAUGUGGAAACAAAACGCUGGAGGACAACAUAAAACUCAGCAAGCUAGAUUGUUGUCCAGUGUCACUUAUGAGAGGGCUUUCUGAGCUGCAAUUUAAAGCCUUCGUAGCCAGUCAUUCAAAUACAAGACCAUCGCCUAAAAGGACUUGCAACUCAUGAGCAGCUGGGGAUCAGCACCUGCAAAGAUAGAACAAUAUACACAGCUGGAGUUUUGACUGAACAGGGCAAAAUAAGCUGUGUUUUUGCAGGAAAAAGUCAUUUGAGCAUCCCUGAGGUAUUUGAUUUGUAACCAAAGAAGUUCCAGCAAUGUAUGUAUUGAAGAUAACUCACAUAACUGACUGAGGAUAUUCAUACUUUUCCUGGUAUUUCCCUAAGAAUUCUCCAGUAAUUUCAUCAGAAGGGAAUCCAUGACAUCUUUAAAUAACAGCAGAUGUGCUUUCUGGUGACUUUCUCAAGAUAUUCAAAGUAAGUUCAAAGCCCAUUUUGUGCUGCACACAUCUGUAUAAUGACAGACACCUAAGGACAUCUGCACCGGACUGAAGGAUGUGACACGAGACCAACAGGAAACACAUGAUCAUCUAACUUUGUAACUGGAGACCUAGUGGGAUAACUUUGGUCAUCUAAAAUGUAAUUAGAUUUCUAUGACAAGACAGAUGAGUCAUUUCUGAGUAGAUGAAAACAUUGUUAUAGCUUGUGUUUUGUAGAUGGAGAGAAAAGGCCAAGGGAAAUGCCACAUCCAGCACAAGUAAUGAAUUUUCUGGUAAAGUCAGGUGUCAAAAGCAGAGCACUGGAGUCUCUCAGUUGUGGUUUGGCCAAGGUUUUGAGGCUGAAUUGUGUAUCCCAAACACAAAAAUUUGUACCCAGCUCACUGGCAAGAGAACCUCACUUCUACUCAGAAAAAAAGGGUCGUGUUCAGUCUGGUUCUGUAAGUGCCUUAUGCCUCACCAUUGCUUCCUCUGUUAGUUGUGCAGGGAUCAGAGUGAGGGAAAUUGAUCAUGAGAUAAAGCCAAGAAUCCCCUUCCAAAAUCUAAGAUAGUAAGACAGGUGCCUAAAUUUACCUUCAGUACCACAGUAAGUGGUCUGAAAAAGUAUUACUGCUCACAGCUUGACUAAAAUAUCCUACAUAAAUCUUGAUUAUCCCCUUUAUGGUGAAGUUCAUGUGGGUCACUAUGAUUUUGGGGCUAGCAAUUAACUUUCCUUAUACUAUUCCCUGUAAUUAGAAUCAUAUCUGGAAACAGUGUUGCCAGGGUAAUUGCAAAGGCAUUUGUAGGCGUUUUAAUAGGGACCACUGUGUAAAACUUUCCCCUGUUGCUGAUUUUGGCAUCCUGACCUAUGUUUUCUCAUGUUCUUUAUAAAAAGAGCUGUUCUAAAUGUUUUGCUGGCUGCCUUGCCUCCCUUUCCUGACCUCUUUCUUAUUAAAAGCUAUAGCAAGAAGUCAGUCAUUAAAAGUUGAUCUGUCUGUCUUGAUGAGACUCAGUUCUUAACACAAAUUUCCUAGGGUAUCUGCAUAAUAGUUAUAUAAGGUAUUAACCACCCAGAUAAACACUACCUAUGAGGAAUGAUGUGCAAUUGUGACUUAUUUUCUAUUUAGUAUCUGUGGUUUUAAUAGAUGUAAGAACAAACAGAUAUGGUGCAAUAGAGAAUGCAGUAAAUUGAGAAUAAAAUGUAUAUAUAUACUUCAAAUGCAUCUUGAUGAUGAAGUCUCAAACAGAGCUGUUCUCAAAAGGUAUCAGUAGCCAUCAUACGAACACACCAUUCCCCCUCCUCUCCCAUCAGUCCUAAACUUACUCCAGGGCAAUAGUGCUGACUUCCCAACUAAAUAGGGCAUCCUACCAGCUAUCCAGAAAGACUUGUGAUUU
ensembl:lncRNA